UACGAAGGGGGCUAGCGUUGUUCGGAAUUACUGGGCGUAAAGGGCGCGUAGGCGGUCCUGAUCGUCGGAUGUGAAAUCCCUCGGCUUAACCGGGGAACUGCGUCUGAUACUGGAUGGCUUGAGAUUGGGAGAGGGAUGCGGAAUUCCAGGUGUAGCGGUGAAAUGCGUAGAUAUCUGGAGGAACACCGGUGGCGAAGGCGGCAUCCUGGACCAACACUGACGCUGAGGAGCGAAAGCCAGGGGAGCAAACGGG
rnacentral:rRNA from 1 species